CCCCUGUGAUGAGUUGCCAUGCUAAUACUGAGACACCAGGUGGGGGUUUUACCCUGCAAUGGGUGUUAUUGAGAUAAAUUCUCCUUCUCUUAAAUCUACCUGAGGGGC